rnacentral:lncRNA from 1 species
GCUGGUUUACACGCUGAUGUGUCCAAGAAAAUAAAAAACGGGUGUAGUCUUUUGAAUCGGUCCCAAAUGCAUCACACCCGAAUACAAUUUCACUCUCACCUCAAACCCUACCACUAUUUUCCCCUCACAGCUACCUCGCCCGAAAUGCAAAAAACCUCUCACGAAUCAUCUCAUGCGAGGAGAUCUAAGGCUACAAGAUUGAAGCCCACCGUACGCAGCAGAAUCGACCGUCGCUGAGUCCUUCUUCUCCGGCAAAAUCUCAGCUGUAGGGGUUCCAGCCUCGACUUGAUUUCGACAAAUUUCAAUUUCGCCUCUCCACUUGCCGAUCAUUUGCAGGACCCUAAAGGCGUGUUUCUUAUACUUUAUGUGAUUGAAGCAAUUAUAAAAAUAUUAAUAUUUUUUGCAUAUCGUAGCUUGAUGCGUUGAUUUGGCUCGUUGAAUCCGAAGGGUGAGAGGGAAAGAGCUCUUAAAAAGCAGCUGGAGAAAAACUACAACAAAAUAAAGUAAGUUGUUCAUGACUUUGUACCAAGAUUGUUCCUUUCGCAGUUUCCAUGCCUCAAGUAAGGGAUGGAGGGGUGGCGUGGGGAGCGGGAAGUGGGAGAAAGUGAUGAUUAGAGUAUUAUUGUGAUCUUCGAUUUUGGGGUUUUUGAUUUUGUUUGGUAAUUUUUCACAAAAAAUUGAAUGACGAAGGUCACUUUUUCCAAAAUAGACUAUAGAUCUCGUGAUAUUGACCAAGAGGGAAAACAAAAGUAUUAUACUCAAAGGACCAAAAACUUAAAGCAAUAGGGAAAAGCAUUGGAUCAAAAAUAGAGGGUUGAAGAGAGAUUUCUAACAAAUCAGAAAUCCUAGUACUAUCAAAAAUUGUCUUGGUAAGACCAUGGCCCACAAGGCGAGCAUGCCAUCUACGGAAAACAACAUCAAAUUUAGGCCAAGUGCGAAUAUCUCUUUCGCGAAGCGGCCUUAGCAGCAAAGAGUUUAGAAACGGAGGGCUUUGAGUACAAGGGAAUAGCUAGCCCACUGCCACUUGUUCGACAGCCUUGGCGUUGUUGAAUGAAGGACCAAUAUAGAACUCAUUGAGUUCAGCAUUGGCUGGUGCAAGGAAGUUCGGAGUUAUAUAUGGCUGAGUGAAGAUUUUCUGGAAGUCUUCAAAACUAAAAGAGUCACCGGAUUGGGAUUGUGAAGCAGCCAUUGGGAACGAAAUAAAGUUUUGUUGAAGUUUGCUUGAGAAACAUAGCAGAGAAGCAAGAAGAUGAACAGUAAUAUUGCGAGAGAGAAGCGCGAAACAAUGAGGCGUGAUUUAGUGGUACGAUGAAAUGACGUGUAUUUGAGGGAUAUAAGUGUUUGCAACGUCACGCCUUUUCAGGCUAUGGAAGAAAAUAAUAAUUGAAAUUUUUGGGAAUUUCAAAUGUUGUUGGGAAACACAAAGUGAAUAUGGCAAAAAUUAAUAAUUGAUAUUAAUUCUGCCAUAUUGGGGGUAAUUGUUGACACGCUAAAAGUGCAGUCCAAAUCGAAUAGCCCAAAGAAUGAAACCCAAUUGGGCAAUUCAGGAUAAAGGCCCAAAUGGGGUUAUUAAUGAAUGCAGUGGAAGCCCACGAACGCGGUAACACCAUCGCCUAAACUUGCAAGACGCCCAAGAUCUGAGCGAAUGAAGUGCCUUGCAGUCGUCCAGGGUUAUGACCCUAUUCUCGCCCAAACCUUCGAAUCGCCCAGGAUCUUAGCAAACAUAAGAUGUUAUGGUUAUCCAAAAGUGUAGUUAUCCAAGCAGUUAUUAAGUAAUCUUAUCACGUUCCACGAUUCAAGAAGUUCCGUUGCAGACGGUUGAACGAUAAAAAGUAGUGGCAGCAGUUAGAGACGGCAGUUCCACGAUAAGUUGGCCACCAUGAAAAAAGUGGACAGUUAUAAAGCAAUUAAGCAGUUUCUAAGCGGUUGAUCACAAAGAGAUCAUUAAGAAAUUAUAAAAGGAAGAAAAGACAUAAAGCACAAGACCCCGAAUCAAACACUCUCAAACAGAGAAUAUGUAAUUUCAAUUUCUUAGUUUAGACUAAAACAUUUCUUUUCAGUACUCGUGUGCUUGCGUCCCUUGGAGGCAUUCUGUUUAAUUCCAAUUGUAAAGUCAUCGCCAAUAAAACACCCCUUUUUGGGACUUUGUCUCAAGAGGUUUGUUCCUUACACAAUCGUCUGAUCUUUUUUUAAUUGUUAGCGACUACCCGCGCGAAACAAUAUUAGCAACACAAUUUUUACUGAUUACGCCAUAUUUUAAUUGCAAUAAAAAUCAUAAAUCUUUAAUUUUUUGCACUUAUGUCAAUUUAUUUUUAUUGCAUUUUGUACUCAACCUUAAAUUAAUUAGCACAUUUUAUCUCUGAUGAUGAUUUUUGUCCAAAUAUUUUGUUAGUUCCUUUGAAAUGGGGGGCAAAUAUUUUAUUUUACUUUGUGUAUUUGUUACUUUUUUUCUUAUUUAAAAAUAUGAGUAUAAAUAAGUCUUUGUAUGUACUCCUAACACAUUUUUUUGAAUAAACACUGUUAUCAAAGACAUGAGGAUAACAAUGCGAUGAAAAAUUUGAGGAUACAUGUACAGUUGAGCAAAUUUUGAGGACCUUCAUUACAAUUAAUUCCUUUUUUUCUUCUAGUAUUUUUAUUUUAUUUUUAUUAUGUUAUUUCUCACUUUUUUUUUUCAUUAUCAUUUAUCUUGAUUUUCACAUUCUUAUUUUAUGAUUUUGCAGUUUGUGAAUUACUUACAAUUAUUUAUAGUAACAUGAAUGAGUCAAUAUAUUUAGCCCUUGUUUGGCCAUCAUUUUUUUUUCCAAAUUUUAAUGUUUGGAAUAGUAAUUUUUUUUAAAGAAUGUGCAAUUGAAAAAGAAUGAAAAAUUUUCAAUUUAAGUAUGAUAUUAUUUUAUGGAAGAUUGUGUGAUUGAAAAUAAGAGAGAAGAAAAAAAAUGAAAGAGAACAUUUGAUUAUGUUAUAUAUCUUGAGUCGAGAGACUAAUGAUUAAAAAUGUAACAUCACAUUAAUUGGAGUCUGAUGAUAAACAAGCAAGUUAUAGUAAACAAGUGUGGUUCACAGAGCUAAUUACAACAAGGACAUUGGUUUGAAGCCCCAAUCCAACCACAAAUGGUAAAAAAAUUUGAUGAAGAAAUCUUUGAAUCGAUAGCUCAAAUAGAAUUCGACUGAUCGAUUCUACCCAAAAAUUGACCUGAUUGGACGGGUUAUGAUCGAUUUCCUUGCAAACCAGUCAAAAUAAUUAUCCAGAUCGGCUUCAUUUCCGUCUUUUCAUGCUCUAGUUAGAUCGAGUUGAACUUUAAAAUUAUGUAGCGCUUUAUCGAUGAUCAAUAUUAAGCAUAAUGAUUUUUAUUUUUCUCAUUCCUCUUAGCUUUUCCCACACUCAAAUCCUUAAUAAAUCUCUAACCCAAUUAGUUCCCAAUAAAAAAUAAAAAUAAAAAUAAAAAAAAUUUAUCAUGAACAAGUAUACUUUAUCUAUGAUUAGACAGAAAUUACGCUUAACGACCAAUUGUACAAUUGAAAUGUUAAGAACGUAAAUAUUAUUUUUCCAAAAAGUUAAAUGACUAAACUGCAAUUUGGGUCAGAAAAUUGAGACAAAUAUUUUCUCCUCUUAAUGUCGCUCUCUGUAGUAACCAAAAACAAAGGAGCUCAAAAGAUCGUUUGGCAUAGCUUAUAAGUAGGAAUGUCAAUUGAUCUUGUUAGUUCGAACUGCUUGUGGCUUGACCCUGAAAAAGCCCGAGCUGGCCCAACUGGAGGCUCAGACCAAGCCCCAUCUUGGAGUGUUGGGCCCAGCCCAAGCCGACUACGGCUCACGGGCCUAAUUUAACCAAAUAUAUAUAUAUAUAUAUUUAAAAGCAGCAGAUUGUUGCCUUAGAAAAGGCAGCACUUUUUUGGGAAGUACGGUGCUGCCUUUAUCUAUUUUAAAAAAAAAAAAAAAGGUUGAGCUUGCUCGGCUCGGCUUGAGCCAAAAGCUCGGGUUGAGCUUUAUUUCUUGGUUGAGCAAAAGCUCAGCUCAGCUCAGCUUAGGCUUGCAAAAAAGCUUGGUCCAUUUUACUCGAUUGAGUCGGAGCCUCGAGUUUCAGCUCUCGAGCCGAUUCGACUAGACUUGUUGACAGCACUACUUAUAAGUAAGUUCUGCUGUAGAUGAGCAGCAGUCACUUUCAAUCAACAAAUACAUGUGUGUCAUGAAUGAAUAUUCAAUCAAUGUUUCGUGGAGUUUAAAGAUAACAAUAAUUUUAUUUAAAUUUUAGCAUAAUAGAUAAUAAUUCAUCAUAACCAUAGGGUUCACAUUCCCCUGUUUUGCAUCUCGAGUAGAUUAAUACUCCUUUUUCUUCUACACUUUUUAGGUUGUCCCACCAAUUGAGGUUCUUGUACUCGAUCUCGGAUAUUAGAACUGUGAAUUUGUGACAUACCAUAGUGCCCAUCAAAUCGAUGCCCCGUGCUUGUCACCAUUGAGUGGAGUCAUGACUAUGUAUGAUAAUGAUAAUGACUAUCUCAUCAAAUACUUCUGAUGUUUUUUGAAGCCAUCAGUUAUCCUUUGAUUCUAAUGCAGCACCAUAUCAUAAUGGAAUUGAAUAAGCCCUUGCUUGGUGAAAAACAUAUAAUUGAAUAAUAUUUUUUAGAAAAUGUGUUGUUAAAAGUAAAUAAAAAAUUUGAAUUUACGUUAUAAUAUUUUAUUGUGUGAAUGUACAAAUAAAUUAAAAAUAAUAAUAAAGGGUAUCAAGCUAAGGCUAAAUACAUGGAGUUGAGAUAUGUUAUUCAAAAUUGAUUGUUCAAUUUAAUGUUUAUCUAAUAAUUCAUUGACAAAUCACUUUAAAUUAAUAUGUCCUUUUUUUUCGCACUACCACUUAUGCUAAAAAAUAAGUGUAAAAUGAUGUGUCAAUUAUUCAUUUGUUGAAAACAAAUUGAACAAUCAAUUUUGAAUAGCAAGUCUCAAUUUGUUUUCCAUUAUUUACUCAUUAUUAAAAUAAAAAAAAAUGACCAUUAUUCAUCAUAUCAAAUCAUCACAUUUGAAAGUCUCUUGUGCAGAGCCCGUAAUCGUUAUAUUUUUUUAUUGUGAAAAUUACACAAAACCCAACUUUAAAAAGCCCGUGUUCUAAAAUCAGAUGGAAGGUUUCAAUUUUCACAAAUAAGUUUUUUCAACCCAAACCCUAAUACAUUUACCCAAACCGUAAAUUAUUUCUCCCACUUUCUCCUCCUCUCCCGGUUUCCAUUCUUCCCUCCCUCUCCACCAUCAUCUAGUCAGGAUCCCUUAUUGGUGGCGGCAAGGGACAGUCGUGCAUCGCUGAGUCUCCCUCGUCAUCUAAUCGCUAAUGUAGACGGUGAGGCGUUGGGAGCGGCGAUACCUUACUGCUCCUCAAUGGCAACGGCACAACUACGCCUAGCGAGGUGGAGCUCUAUUGUUGCCCAAAUCAGCAGCGAUACCUCUACUUGUGGUGAUGGCUAGCACUGUCAGAUCUGCUGCUGGUGGUGAUUGAUCAUGCAUCUGAUGGUGAGAUAAGAUGCUGGGUGUCGAAUCUGGGGUGGUGGCUGGUGGUGAUUUGUGAUAUUAUCCUAAUUAAUAAUUCAAAAGAAACUUUCAGAAUUGUGAUUUCGAUUUCUAGCUUUUUGCAAUUCAUUUUAUUUCUUUAUGGCGAUGCGUUUGUGUUGGGUUGGGGGCAAGUUUGUGUUUUGUUGUUGGCUUGUGUUGAAUGUGGUUAUGGCAGGGGUGAUGGUUCAGGCAGUUGUGGGUGGUGGUGCUAGCGGUGGUCACGAUGGUUUUGAGGUAGAUUUUUUAGGUUAGUUUGGUAGUGGUGACAAUGGUGGUCACGUGUGCGAUAUCAGGUGUUUUGGUGCUGCAGCGAUCCAGUGAGUUGGUGUUAGUGAUGGCGUUAUGUUAAGGUUGUUGCGAAGUCCAAGUCUGGUUGUGUGAUAACAUUAUUUUGGUUGAUUUUUGCGUUUGUGUGUUGUGUGGUGGUCGUGGUUGGUAAUAUGGUGGUAUUUUUUGCAAAUAAAUCGUGACUUGAUUUGUGACCGAUGAAAUUAACCAUGACCAAUUAAUUUGAUAAUUUGUAAUGAAUAAAUGAAUUAUGACCAAUGAAUAAUUUGUAUAAAAAAUUUUAUUCGUGACCCAAAAAUAAUAUAUGACCUAUGAAAUUUUUGAGUUGUGACAAAAAAAAAAAAAAAAGUUGUAACCAAUAAAUUGAUUAGUUGUGACUAAAAAAUAAUUUGUGACUAAUUAAUUUUUUUGAUUUGUGACCAAUGAACAAACUGUGACAUACAAAAUUUUUGAAUUGUGAUCGUAAAACAAUGUGACAUAAAAUUUUUGAUUUGUAAUCAAAAAAUAAUAAGUGACUAAUUAAAUCGCUAAUUUGUGAUCAAAUUGUACAGAUUCGUGAUCUAAAUAUAUUUAAUUAAUAAAAUAAUUAAUUAAUUAAUGAAAUUAUAAAUAAGUUUUAAUAAAAAAAUAAUUUUUGAAAUUUGAAACUUGUUUUCUCAAUUUUGAAAUGUGUGAUAUUUAAAAUCUUACUUAUGAAAUUUUUCCUUUUUUAUUUUUAUUCUUAUAUUAAUGUGGUCCAAACAAGCCCAAUUCUCAACUCAAGUAUACGUACUAGUCGAUAGCACGUGCGUUGCACGAUUAUUGUAUUUAAUCUGCUUUUAUUAGCGUGGUGUAGAGAUAUUUUAGUUUUUUUGGCUGAUUAUGCUUUCGAAGUUUGGAGUAAAUGUUUUGGCAUCAAUCUUCUUUGGUAGUUAGUAAAAAUUAGAUUUAAAAUUGUGGGAAUAUAAGUAAAAGUUAAUUUAUAAUUUUGCUUUAGUAAAGAAUAAUUUAAUUUUCUUUUUCCUUUCUUCUAACCAACUUUUCUUUAGAUUAUUUUAUUAAUUUCUUACAUUGAAAAUUGAAAACAUUUUAAAUGUAAUGAGAGAAUUUUAUGAAUUAAAAUGUUAAUUGAAAGAGUUUUUGGAGGAUAAUUUUAAAGAUUGACUUUUUAUUAUACACACUAUCUCAUGUUUAAAGAUUUUGCUAAAGACAUUUCAUUUAAAUAAAUAUGAAUAUUAGAAAUGGGUUUUGUUUGAAAGUAAGUGGGAAUUGUAGUCAAAUUAUUGUAAGAGAAUAUUGGACAGAUAAAUGCCAAAAUAGGAAAGAUUCUUGCAGAAAGAAAUAUACUAUUUCACCAACCUAACCUACUUCAUUUAUUUGUGACCUCAACUUUAUACUUCCUUUGUUGAUAUCAAAUUCAUAGCAUUUUCAUCUGUCAAUUCAUUCAUCUCAACAAAUUCUAAGGUAAGUUGAUUUCUAUGAAUAAAUGUUAUUUAUAUGAAUAAUUUAUGUUGAUAUUUGUGGAAGGAAGGUGAAGUUCUUGUGAAAAAUGAAGCUUGGUGUGGGAAGAAAUGGUGAAGAUGAUAAAAUUAUCUGUGGGAAGCUUGGCAAAGAUGUGUGCGGACUCCCCGCACAGAUCUGUGCGGACUCCCCGCACAGAUCUGUGCGGGGGCUGCGCACUUGCAUUCUUUUUCGAAAUACGUCUUGACGCAAUGAUUUUUAUAUAAAUUGGAACAAAAUCUUAGAAUUAGAAAUAUAUAUUAAAUGUGAUGAUUGAUAGUAAUUUUUCUUCCAACUUAGACGAUAGUUACAUUACGAUAUAUAUGAUAUAUACUUACAUGAAAUUAGGAAGAUAUGUUGGUAUAUAUUAUGACAUCUUUCAUUUCUAUUAUUUGUGACAUUUUUCAUUUCUAUUAUUUGUGCAGAUAUCUCUAGACUAUGUACUGUCACCAAACCAAUGGUUUUCUAGUACCAUCACUCAAUACCCGAAUUAUCGGUAUGAAAAAGAUUGUAUAACAUUGCUUCAAGCAGAUGACCAAUCACUUUUAAUCUCUAGUGAUAGCAG